AUAUUGGUUUGACGUUGGCGUCGUCGUCCAAAGACACAUUGGUUUUCGCACUCUAACUUUAGUUUAAGUAAAUGGAUCUCUAUGAAAUUUUACCUUAAGGUUCAAUAUCACAAAAGGAAGGUUGGGAUUGAUUUUGGGAGUUAUGGUACCAACCGUUAAGGAAUAAGGGGCCAAAAAUAAGCAUUUUUGUAACUUCCUGACAUAACUUGUGUGUUAGUGUAUGGAUCACUCUGACACUGUACCACAAGGUUCCAUAUCACAAAGGGAAUGCUGGGAUUGAUUUUGGGGGUAAUUGCCUCAAAAUUUUAGGAAUUGGGGGCUAAAAAAGGGGCAAAAAACAAGCAUUUUUCUAGUUUCAUGACAAUAACUUGUGUGUAAGUGUAUGGAUCUUUCUGAAAUUGUACUACAAGGUUCCAUAUCACAAAGGGAAAGCUGGAAUUGAUUUUGGGGGUAAUUGCCCACAAUGUUGAGGAAUAAGGGGCCAAAAAUAAGCAUUUUUCUAGUUUCCAGACAAUAACUUGUGUUCAAGUGUAUGGAUCUCUCUGAAAUUGUACUGCAAGGUACCAUACCACAAAGGGAAGGCUGGGAUUGAUUUUGGGGAUAAUUGCCUCAAAAUUUUAGGAAUUAUGGGCAAAAAGGGACAAAAACAAGCAUUUUUCUAGUUUUAGGACAAUAAUUUGUGUGUAAGUGUAUGGAUCUUUAUGAAAUUGUACUACUUGGUUCCAUAUCACAAAGGGAAAGCUGGGAUUGAGUUUGGGGGUAAUUGCCCUAAAUGUUAAGGAAUUUGGGGCCAAAAAACAAGCAUUUUUCUAGUUUUAGGACAAUAAUUUGUGUGUAAGUGUAUGGAUCUUUAUGAAAUUGUACUACUUGGUUCCAUAUCACAAAGGGAAAGCUGGGAUUGAGUUUGGGGGUAAUUGCCCUAAAUGUUAAGGAAUUUGGGGCCAAAAAACAAGCAUUUUUCUAGUUUCCAGACAAUAAUUUGUGUUCAAGUGUAUGGAUCUCUCUAAAAUUGUACAGCAAGGUACCUUACCACAUAGGGAAGGCUGGGAUUGAGUUUGGGGGUGAUGAAUCAUAAGGGGGUUCAAAACAUUUUGGGGGGGAUUUUUUUUCCUUUUUUUCCUUUUGUUUUCUUUAAAAUUUAGUUAUUUCUGAAUGAUUUAUAUAUAAAAGCAAAUAAUAAUGAUAUGGUUUGAAUAGGUAAAUUAGAAAUUUUUAAGUUCUUAGAUCCCAUUCAUUUUGUGAGCCUCUUGUUUUAAUUGCUUCUGUAAGUAAUUUAUUAAUUACAAGCAUUUUACAACACAAUUUAUUAAUUUGAAAUUUUGACGACAGACACAUACAGAUUAUACCGUUAACAAUAUUUCAGAGUUUAAUGUUGUCAAGCACACACAUCAUAGAAGAAUAGUUAAUCACGUCAUUGUUGUCCAUUGAAAAAUUAGUAUGAACACGAUGAAAAAGUACGGGAAUGUUUGUUUGUUAAACUAUUGACCGUGGUUAUGUCUUUGAAACUGUUGACUGGCAAAUAGUCUGUGAAAUGAAAUAGCACAAAUAUUUCAUUCCUUUUUUAUAUAUCAUGGUAUAUAGAAAAACACAUACUGAUGUACAAUAAUAGUUAUAGUCAUUAAAUUAUAGUUUUUACCUUUUUUGAGUUUAGGGCAAGAAAUAUAGAAGAUAAAGAAAAAUAUAAACAAUUACAACCAUGACAACUGUACAGUAGAAAUGAUCGGCAAAACAACAUAAACAGAAGACAACAAGGCCUAAAUGGUGAGACUUCUUGGUUUUCAUGAUCAUCAACAGGUCAAUACAGAAGAGGAAACUUAAGGUUAAUAGUUUUCUACAUUGUGUGCUAAUUGGAUUAAUGUGAAAUGAAAUGUGUGCUUACCUGGAAAAAGAAAAUAGGAAAUUUCUACAAAAUGGCUGUAAACAAAAUGGAGUACAAUCAUAGAUGCACAAGAACACAAUUGUGUAAUUGCAACAACCUACAUAUUCACUGAAGGAUUAUGGAGAAAUGUAGAAAAAAUAGUAUUUUGUUGUCGAAAUAAACACCUGCUUUAUCCAUUCAUGUACAUAGCUCUGUCAUAUCAAAUAUACAGAGGAAGACGUUUGAAGAACAAAUUGCAAAAAUGUAUUCUUUACCAAUUGAAGGAAGAUGUCUGGUGGAUGUAAUUAUUUAUUCACUGAACUGUUAUGUAGGGGAUUGAAUAAUUGUACGCAGCAGCCUAAACAGAAGAAAAAGUUAAAUUAACAUGAAAAGUGGUUAUUUAUUUAAUCUGCAAAUAUGAGCACAAUAUUAAUAACAUCACAAAUAGUAUGAUAUUCAUAGCGUUUUGCUUAUUAUUGUAUUGUCUCAAACAGCUAGCCUAUUGUUUUUGUAUGUCAUGUUACUCAUCAGUGAACAUUUUAUUAAAGUUUUAAUUAUC